rnacentral:tRNA from 1 species
GUCUCGGUCGUCUAGCCAGGUCCAGGACACCGCCCUUUCACGGCGGUAACACGGGUUCAAAUCCCGUCCGAGAUA